rnacentral:lncRNA from 1 species
GCUUUCUUUUGAAUAAAAACCCUGGUGUUACAGCCCAAGAAAGUGCAAACUUUCAAAAGUAGGAAGAUAUGUAAUUUGUGCAAUGACAUCAUUGCAUUAUGUUCAAGGUCCUGGAUAAAUACUGCCUCUCAGUUCAGGAAGCAGCAAAGGAACUAACUCCACCUGCUGUCUUGGACAGGCAAAGACUGUUUUAUCCUCCAGCUCACUGUGCCAACCAUUUACAAAAUUUGAAAGUGAAAGGCAACACAGAGGCGGUCAACUUCUGCUCCACAUCGACUCAGCAGCAGUGUAUAGAAAGAUCUGGCUGAGAAGAGGUUCUGAGAAAACUGCUACUGCAAUCAGCCUGAAUAGAACUAAGUGUUAUGUCUUCUAUGAAGGAGGUAAGUGGGAUACUAGAAUCUAUGUUGGAAAAAAGGAAAAACAAAAGGGAAUGAAAUAGCAUUACACAAAGUACAGCAGAGAAGCCAGGAAACCAGAUUUUACUGUCCAAAAAGAAAGGCAUAUUGAGCAUUGAUCCUGAUUUUUACAGAAUUUGGUACAAAAUUUCAUAUCAUUUUUGAAUUAGGAAGGUGUGUGCUCUUUUUGAACCUGGGUAUGUUAUGGGUUCUUUUUUGCUAUAUUAAUCUCUCUAAAUGCUACCAAAAUGGGUGGCUCCUUUAAACUUCUUAUUCUUCAGUUAUCUACAGUGUGCUGUGCCUAGUCCUGUGUCAAAAGUACUGAAGAGGCAGCGUGAAAAAGAUAUAAGUUGUAUGUGUGUAUUAACCCGAUAAUUUAAAUUAAAAAAUUAAAAUAUAUAUAUUUUUUAUUUUAAACAAAUACUGUAUUACAUGCUUUUGCCUAAAUCAUAUGGGCAGCACUCCACUCCCUGCCAGCAUUAGGGUUAUUGAUUUAAAAAAUGAACAUAUGCAAAAUGCACAGCCAAGAUAGUUCUAUUUGCAGUUUCAUUGUUACGUCGGGUCCUGUGGGAGUUGGGGACUUCCUGAAUUGUGUAUCAUACAGGCAGUUGCUAAUGACUGAAGAUGCUAUGAAUCACCUUAGCAGAAACGUGCACUUUGACACAGAAAACUCUGUAUAUGCCUCUUAAGUGGGAGCAAAGCAAAUGUAACCUCUUUUCUUU